rnacentral:rRNA from 1 species
GACGAACGCUGGCGGCGUGCCUAAUACAUGCAAGUAGAACGCAGUUGCGAACGGGUGCGUAACGCGUAGGUAACUGCCUCAUAGCGGGGGGUAACUAUUGGAAACGCUAGCUAAUACCGCAUACUGUGAGAUGGACCUGCGUUGUAUUAGCUAGUUGGUGAGGUAAAGGCUCACCAAGGCGACGAGACAUAGCCGACCUGAGAGGGUGAUUGGCCAGACUGGGGUUGAGACGCGGCCCCGACGCCAACAAGAGGGCGCAGUAUGGAAUCAUCGGAAAUUGACGAAAGUCUGACAGAGCAAAGCGCAGUGAGUGGAGAAGGAUGUCGGGUCGUAAAGCUCUGUUGUGAGAGAAGCGGUAACUGCCCAGAAAGGGACGGCUGACUACGUGCCAGCAGCCGCGGUAAUUC